UACGGGGGGGGCAAGCGUUGUUCGGAAUUACUGGGCGUAAAGCGCGCGUAGGCGGCUUUUCAAGUCAGACGUGAAAGCCCCAGGCUUAACCUGGGAAUUGCGUUUGAUACUGUUAAGCUAGAGUGUGGAAGGGGCUACUGGAAUUCCGUGUGUAGCGGUGAAAUGCGUGAGAUAUAACGGAGGAACACCAGCGGCGAAGGCGGGUAGCGUGGGCCAACACGUGACGCUGAUGACGCGAAGCUAG
rnacentral:rRNA from 1 species